rnacentral:rRNA from 1 species
AGAGUUUGAUCAUGGCUCAGAACGAACGCUGGCGGCAGGCUUCAUACAUGCAAGUCGAGCGCUUGAUGUCCUUCGGGGCAAAGAGAGCGGCGAACGGGUGAGUAACAGGUGGAUAAUCUGCCUUCUGGUGGGGGACAACGGCUGGAAACGGCCGCUAAUACCGCGUAUGGUUGUUUCUCCGCAUGAAGAAACAAAGAAAGGCGCCUUUAAAGCGUCGCCAGAAGAUGAGUCCGCCUCCCAUUAGCUAGUUGGUGAGAUAACAGCCCACCAAGGCGACGAUGGGUAGCCGAGCUGAGAGGUUGAUCGGCCACACUGGGACUGAGAUACGGCCCAGACACCUACGGGUGGCAGCAGUAGGGAAUAUUGGACAAUGGGCGAAAGCCUGAUCCAGCCAUGCCGCGUGGGGGACGAAGGCCUUCGGGUCGUAAACCCCUUUUCUGAGGGAAGAACAGUUGGGGUAGGAAAUGAUCCUGAUUUGACGGUACCUCAGGAAUAAGCAACGGCAAACUCCGUGCCAGCAGCCGCGGUAAUACGGAGGUUGCGAGCGUUGUUCGGAUUAACUGGACGUAAAGGGGGCGCAGGCGGCCUGAUCUGUCUGGGGUGAAAGCCCGGGGCUCAACCUCGGAAUUGCCUUGGAUACUGUCAGGCUUGAGUGUGUGAGAGGAGAGUGGAAUUCCUGGUGUAGCGGUGAAAUGCGUAGAUAUCAGGAGGAACACCGGUGGCGAAAGCGGCUCUCUGGCACAUUACUGACGCUGAGGCCCGAAAGCGUGGGGAGCAAACAGGAUUAGAUACCCUAGUAGUCC